AGUGAACGCUGGCGGUAGGCCUAACACAUGCAAGUCGAACGGCCGCACAGUAAGCGCUUGCCCCUACGGGUGGCGAGUGGCGGAUGGGUGAGGAAUACAUCGGCAUCUACUUUUUCGUGGGGGACAUCGUAGGGAAACUUAUGCUAAUACCGCAUAUGACCUACGGGUGAAAGCAGGGGAGCUUCGCACUUUGCGCGUCUGAAUGAGCCGAUGUCGGAUUAGCUAUUUUGCGGGGUAAAGUCCCACCAGGCAGACGAACCGUAGCUGGUCUGAGGGGAUGGUCGGCCACACUGGAACUGGGCCACGGUCCAGACUCCUACGGGAGGCAGCAGUGGGGAAUAUCGGACAUGGGGCGCAAGCCUAAUCAGCAAUACCGCGUGAGUGAAGAAGGCCUUCGGGUUGUAAAGCCCUUUUGUUAGGAAAGAAAAGCAGCGUAUUAAUACCCCGCUAUUCUGACGGUACCCAAAGAAUAAGCACCGGCUAACUUCGUG
rnacentral:rRNA from 1 species